AUGCUCGCUUUGGCAGCACAUAUACUUAAAUUGGAACUGUAGGGAGAAGAUUAGCAUGGCCCUGUGCAAGGAUUUAAUCUAUUUUCCAAAUAUUUAUUUAUUUAUU